GACGAACGCUGGCGGCGUGCUUAACACAUGCAAGUCGAACGGAAAGGCCCUGCUUUUGUGGGGUGCUCGAGUGGCGAACGGGUGGGUAACACGUGAGUAACCUGCCCUUGACUUUGGGAUAACUUCAGGAAACUGGGGCUAAUACCGGAUAGGAGCUCCUGCUGCAUGGUGGGGGUUGGAAAGUUUCGGCGGUUGGGGAUGGACUCGCGGCUUAUCAGCUUGUUGGUGGGGUAGUGGCUUACCAAGGCUUUGACGGGUAGCCGGCCUGAGAGGGUGACCGGCCAAAAUGGGAAUGAGAUACGGCCCAGACUCCUAAGGGAGGCAGCAGGGGGGAAUAUUGCAAAAUGGGCGGAAGCCUGAUGCAGCAAAGCCGCGUGCGGGAUGACGGCCUUCGGGUUGUAAACCGCUUUCGCCUGUGACGAAGCGUGAGUGAAGGUAAUGGGUAAAGAAGCACCGGCUAACUACGUG
rnacentral:rRNA from 1 species